ensembl:lncRNA
UUCUAGGAUCAAUUUCCCGGACAUGCAUUAAGCCUAGCGCUGCACUAAAUUGCAAUGUCAUGGGUGAUCCAUUAUUUUUAAGUUUAAGCCACAGUUUAGGCUUAAUGUACAGUGGCUAUAAAAAGUCAACACAACCCUGUUAGAAUGACAGGUUUUUGUGGUGUAAAAAAUGAAUUUUUUUUUCAUUACAGAACCUUUAUCACCUUUAUUGUGAAUUGCAACAUAUAAAAAGCAAGGGACAAACACCCAGUGUUUAAGAGAAAGAGGAAAAAAAAAAAAAACUUCCAAUACCCAGUGUGUAUAAGUGUGCACACCCUUUUAUAAUUGUGAAUGUGGCAGUGUUCAGAAUCAACCAAUCACAUUCAAACUCCUGUUAAAUACUAAUUAGUGUACACCUGCCAUCAGUUAAAAUGAUGGAUUACCCAUAAAUAAAAUACAGCUGUUACAAUAGGAUUUUUCUGACUGGAAAAGCCACGGGCCUCAAAGAGCUUACAAAGCAGCUAAGAUAAGAUCAAGAUGUGCCAAACUGUCUGACUCUUUACCCAAAACAAUUGAAUGCCAUGAUAAAAUCUAAGGGUGCUUCAACUAAGUGUUAGUGUAGGGGUGUGCAUACUUAUGCAACCAGGUUAAUGUACUUUUAUUUUUUAUUUUUCCCACCCUAAAAUGAUUCUCAUUGUUUUUCACUUUCAUAUAUAGGCUGCAAUUUCACAAUAAAGGUCGGUUUCAUUUAUUUAUUUAUUUAUUUAUUUUUGAACACCACAAAAACCUGCUAUUUUAACAGGGGUGUGUAGAUCAUACAAAUACCUGAUUAUAUGUGAGCUCUGAAUCCAUGACUGCUAUGACCUUGGUAUUGAUUUACAAAACAACACCUCUGCUGUUCAGACAAUCAGCAUAUAAACGGAUGAUGCAUUCAUCCUGGAUAUCACGUUUUCAUCAGUUGUUCCAAUUAUAAUAUUUCCUCCAUCCUUCUACCUUUUUGUAUUUAUUUGAACGAUUCCUCAUUAUAUAUAUCGGUUCCACUCUUUUCCGUUAAUCCGUAAUAUUUUUAUUUUAGUCUCAUGUUUAUAGCACGAUCUAAGAUCACUCCUAGGAAUUCUGAUAGGUGACUGUGGUAAAUAAUGUAGUGAGCUCCGUUGUACCAGCAGGUUUCACACAGUUAGUAUUCCAUUCAUUAUGUUUUAACUUAUUCAUUAUAAACAAGCCGUUGUGGCUCAGUGUUUUCUGCCAUAUGAAAUCAUGACAGCUGUCUUCUGUGAAACGUACUCAAAGUACAAUCAUGCACUUAUGAAUAUUAUAUGAAAGUGUGAAAUACACCUAUUUACCAUUUUUAGGGUGAGCUUCAAAAUAUAAGGAGAUGAAUAUCUACAUACCGGAAAUAUGUAUAUGUACUGUAUAAAAGCCUACCUAAAUAUUUGGGUUUAAAACCCAUCCAGACUGUUUUUAAUCUCUGUUGUGAUAUUAUGUUCAAUGAGAUUUAUACUACAUGUAAUUUCAUUAAAAUGAAUGCAUGUCUAUUUUAAACCGUUUUAUUUUCUCUGGCAACGAGAUGUUAAACUUUGUUUUUGUAUAUAAUGCAUGGAAUAGUUAAUGCAUUUUAUUAAAUGCUGUACCAAGAUGGCGUAUAAAUGUUGUGGCGUAGAAAUACAUAUUUAUCUGCCAGAGACUAAAAGUAAGCAAGUAAUCUUUUUUUUUUUCUUU